UUUCCUCUUCGUUUCCCCCCUGUUCUUCUAUGACCUGUAUAAUUUAGGGUUGCACAUUUUCUCGAAAUUUAUUGUGUUCUAAUCUUGAAUUUGUCCAAAAGAUUGGAUCUUUCAAGUUUAUGAUGUAUGGGUUUGUAAAUUGGAGCUCGUAGCAGCUGAAGGGAUCAUUUUUCUAUUACUCCAGUUUCACUCAUGGGCUGCACACUUAUCAGAUUUUACUGCAAAGAGGGCUAUCUUUCUUUCAAUUUCUUGCUCUGAAAGCACAGGUCAAGGUAUAAAGUAGGCCAAGUAAUCCUUUUGCCUUUUUGCCUUUAUUUUUUUGGAGCCAUUGUUUGGGUUAUUCAUUUUCUUUAGAAUUGGGAUCAAUAUAACUACAUGUAGUGAUUAAUCAUCUUAGGCUCACUUUUGCUGAAAAGUCUUUUUUCUUUUGGGAUUUUUGUUUCAGUUUCCAUAAUUUGUUGUUGUUCGAGAAAUCUUUUGUAGUUCAUAUUUAUGAUCAGCUGAGAAGUGAGAACCCUCUGGAAGCUACUUUAAAGUGAUGAAUUGCACUCUCUCUGUAAGGAAAUGCUAUUUGUUUACUCAAUUAGGGUGUUUUUGUAUUCAUAUACUAUGCAUAGGUUGUAUGUGUGUGUGUGGAUUUUUGAAGAAGAUAUAAUUGGCGUAAAAACUUUGACUUGUCUGCAUUUGAGCAAAACUUCAAAAGAAAUCUAAUAUAUUUGGUUUACAUUAAGCCUUUUAUGUCCAAAUGCAAUAUUUGCUUAGUGCUGAACUAUUAUGCAAAUGCAAGUUUUUGACUUGGCAUUCUUUACGGUUUACUUUUGCGAUAACGCCUGAUGAGGCUUAUUUUUCUGUUUACUAGUAAGUCAGGAUGUUAUGCUGCCCAUUUUUUUUUUUUUUUUUGUGAGAGUGUGUGUGUGUGUGUGGUUUUUUUCUUUUUAACUUCUUUAAAGGCUUUCCCUAUAAGCAAACAUUAGGGCCAGCUAUUUUCUUUUUUUUUUCUUUUCUUUUUUCAAUUAUUUGGAUUUCAAAGUUGAGGAGCCAAAUCGAGUAGUUGAAUUUGUGCGUCAUACUUCAUAGGCUCCACUUGGCAGAUUGCACCAGGUGAGUAGUACAGAAGAUUGGGAGUGUUGCCCUGUUUUCCCUCAAAUUCCUGGUUCUAAAUAAGCUUGAGCAAUCCUUUUUAUGCAAAACCCAAAAAUUGUGCUACCUUCCUGCUUCUCUGCUUCUCCCAUUUUUGUGCCAAACAUGAAGUUUCCUGAUAUUCUCUGUUAGUGACUUCCUUUUUUUGUUUGUUUUUAAGAUACUUUGAGUCAUUGUUGAUAGCUUUUUGAGCAUUGACACAAUUAUAUCUCUUAAACUUGCUUAUAAUUUUCUUUUGGAGGUCAGGAAGGUUAGGGAACGGUUGUUUUUGGUGUUUGUGUUGGAAACAUGAAGUAUAUUUAACUUCUUGUCAUGUCAAAGGUCCAAACAAUGACAAUGGAUAUCUCUGCUAGAUGUUGGACCUAAAGAUGGUUUGUCAUUGUUGCUUUAUGUUGUUUCAAAGUAUUCUGCAAUAGAUUCUCUUAGGAAAAAUCAUGUUGGUUUUCUUCUGGUUUAAGGCAGAAAGCCAUUAGGUUCGUUAUAACUAAUGUACAUAAUUUGAUGUAGGAAUUCUUCAUCUGAUGUUGCAGACUAUCUUGAUCACAUCUAAUGGAGCUUGUAAGCUGGGUGCAUUUGGUUUCACACCUACAGGUCACUCAUCCAGUGAUUCAGCUAAUGUGCGGGCUUUCCACUAUGCUGUGAGUGUAAAUUUUCAUAUCACAGUGAAAAACAGAAUAUAAUUGCACGUUUUUUUUAGUUCAUUUUUCUACUGCAUUUCUAGUUAUUGAAUUUGUGAAUUGAUAGCAUUUCUUUUAUCUGAAUCUUAUUGCUGUUAAGCAUGCUGCUGGACCUGCAUUAGCUUUUUGAUUUAUCAUGGAAAAUCUGUUGUUUGAAUAGUAGUAUCUUAAACAGAUUUGGUUGCUAAUUGGUUCUUGGAAAGGUUUAACACAAAUUUUCUUCAUAAAUUAGUGCUUGGAGCUCUAUCAAUGCUAUAUCUGAGCUCAAGUAUGAGCUAUAUAUGAAGAGGAGCCAGGCAGAUCCAUAUGGUUUCAUGUUACAUUAGAGUUAGAUCUAUGUUGUUGAUGAGUAAAGAAUAGAAAGAAGUGUUGUGGGAGGGGUUUUGGAAGGACCGAAGUGCAUGAUAUAUGUAGAUUUGGUGAGUAUGAUCCUCUUAACGUGCUGGACUAUUAUGUUAUCACCUUAGACUCAAUCAAGACAAGUACAUCGAAGAUUAGGGAUGACAACGCGACAGGUGCCUGCCUUGCAGGGGAAGGAAUGGGACGGGAGAUUUUUCUCCUCCUACUUUAAAUGGGGUGGGGGAGGAUACCAAUAUAUAUUUUGACAAAAGCUUUGUCCUUCAUAUCAUUCGAUUCUUUUGAGUCUCUUUUGAUUAGUAGACAGACAAAAGAAUAUAUCAGUUUUUUGGUUAGAACUUACUGUUAUACUAGCACCAAAUGUUCUUGACUGUGAUUGCAACAUCUCCAAUUAUGGGAAGUAAGGGGCCGCUUGGUUUGAGGGGUUUGGCAUGUGGAAUGACAAUAAUUCCAAUAUUUAGUGCUUGGUACACUGUAAUGGCAAUUGAAAUAUUGGAAUCAUACCCAAUUCAUGAUUCCCGACUAAAUUGGGAGGAAUCACUCAAAACCCUCAGCUCAUUUCCAACAGUGAAUAAAUAAAAGACAAAAUAUUUUGUUAAAAUACUUUCUUUCUCCCUCUCCCAGACUUCCACCAUCGAACCUCCCCUUCCUCUCUGCCUUCAACAC
rnacentral:lncRNA from 1 species